UGUAUUAUUAGUUAAUGCAAGAUCGACUACGUCGACUAAAGUUCUAGGUAGAAUAAUGAUGAUGACAAUUUUUUACCUAUAUGUCUUGACCAAGUCUCGUGCCAGCAGUCGCGGUAAUACGUGGAAGACUAGUGUUAUUCAUCUUUAUUAGGUUUAAAGGGUACCUAGACGGUAUUUCUAGCCCAAAAUAGGGUACGGAUUUACUAGAGUUUUAUGUGAGGAGGGGAGUACUCAUAGAGUAGAGAUGAAAUUUUGUUAUACUAUGAGGUAACUGGUGGCGGCGAAAGCAACCUUCUAUGUAUAAACUGACGUUGAGGGACGAAGGCUUGGGUAGCAAAUAGGAUUAGAUACCCUAGUAGUCCAAGCAGACAAUUCUGAAUGCCAUAGAUUAGAUUAUUUUUGGUCUAUAAAUGAAAGUGUAAGCAUUCCACCUUAGGAGUAAUGUGGCAACACAGGAACUGAAAUCAUUAGACCGUUUCUGAAACCAGUAGUGAAGUAUGUUAUUUAAAUUGAUGGUCCACAAAAAACCUUACCACAACUUGAAUAUUUUUAAUUUAUACAAGCGUUGCACGGCUGUCUUCAGUUAAUGUCGUGAGAUUUUGGUUAACUCCAUUAAUUAACGUAAACCCUUACUU
rnacentral:rRNA from 1 species